AUGCGGAGGGUGCAAGCGUUAAUCGGAAUUACUGGGCGUAAAGGGUUCGUAGGCGGUUAUUUAAGUCAGAUGUGAAAGCCCCGGGCUCAACCUGGGAAUUGCAUCUGAUACUGGGUAACUAGAGUUUAAGAGAGGAGUGUGGAAUUUCCGGUGUAGCGGUGAAAUGCAUAGAGAUCGGAAGGAACAUCAGUGGCGAAGGCGGCACUCUGGCUUAAAACUGACGCUGAGGAACGAAAGCGUGGGUAGCAAACAGGAUUAGAAACCCUAGUAGUCC
rnacentral:rRNA from 1 species